rnacentral:sRNA from 1 species
CCCCAGCACUGAUAGAAAUGGAAAUCAUUUUUUGAGAAAACUUAUUUUUCUUGUUUUUGCAGAGCGACCAGAGGAAGAUCCUACCAGAAUUUAGAAAAAAAAAGGUUUAGAGAAAAAUAUUGUAAUGGAUAGCAGGAAUAGCU